GAAUCUUCCACAAUGGACGAAGUCUGAUGGAGCACGCCGCGUGAGUGAAGAAGGGUUUCGGCUCGUAAAGCUCUGUUGGUAGUGAAGAAAGAUAGAGGUAGUAACUGGCCUUU
rnacentral:rRNA from 1 species